AUUGAACGCUGGCGGCAUGCCUUACACAUGCAAGUCGAACGGCAGCACGGGGCAACCUGGUGGCGAGUGGCGAACGGGUGAGUAAUGCAUCGGAACGUACCUUUCAGUGGGGGAUAACGUAGCGAAAGUUACGCUAAUACCGCAUAUUCUGUGAGCAGGAAAGCAGGGGAUCGCAAGACCUUGCGCUGAUUGAGCGGCCGAUGUCAGAUUAGCUAGUUGGUGAGGUAAAGGCUCACCAAGGCGACGAUCUGUAGCGGGUCUGAGAGGAUGAUCCGCCACACUGGAACUGAGACACGGUACAGACUCCUACGGGAGGCAGCAGUGGGGAAUUUUGGACAAUGGGGGCAACCCUGAUCCAGCCAUGCCGCGUGAGUGAAGAAGGCCUUCGGGUUGUAAAGCUCUUUCGGCCGGGAAGAAAUCGCACGGGCUAAUACCCUGUGUGUAUGACGGUACCGGAAUAAGAAGCACCGGCUAACUACGUGCCAGCCGCCGCGGUAAAAC
rnacentral:rRNA from 1 species